rnacentral:rRNA from 1 species
CGGUAAUUCCAGCUCCAAUAGCGUAUAUUAAAGUUGUUGCAGUUAAAAAGCUCGUAGUUGAACUUUGGGCCUGGGCGGACGGUCUACCUAUGGUAAGCACUGUUGCGGCCGGGUCUUUCCUUCUGGCUAGCCCUCGGGCGAACCAGGACGAUUACUUUGAGGAAAUUAGAGUGUUCAAAGCAGGCCUUUGCUCGGAUAUAUUAGCAUGGAAUAAUAGAAUAGGACGCAUGGUUCUAUUUUGUUGGUUUCUAGGACCAUCGUAAUGAUUAAUAGGGACGGUCGGGGGCAUCAGUAUUCAGUCGUCAGAGGUGAAAUUCUUGGAUUGACUGAAGACUAACUACUGCGAAAGCAUUUGCCAAGGACGUUUUCAUUAAUCAAGAACGAAAGUUAGGGGAUCGAAGAUGAUCAGAUACCGUCGUAGUCUAACC